rnacentral:rRNA from 1 species
UACGAACUGCGCAAACGUUAUUCGGAAUCACUGGGCUUACAGGGUGCGUAGGCGGCGGAGAAAGUAGGGUGUGAAAUGCCUUGGCUCAACCAAGGCACAGCGCUCUAAACUACUUCGCUCGAGUGAGUUCAGGGGUACGCGGAACUUCCGGUGGGAGCGGUGAAAUGUGUUGAUAUCGGAAAGGAACACCGGUGGCGAAAGCGGCGUACUGGGG